GAGGAAGAGAACCAUAUGUACCGAACAGAGAAUUCAAUUGGAAAUAGAGACACCGUACAAAGUAUAGAGAUGAACGGGAGAUAACGCAGGUCGUGAAACAGGAGUAAUUAUGGUGCUGGAACGGGAUUGAACACCAAGCGUUAAUUAAGUUAAUCUAAUUUAACAACGAUUGAUUCAAAGGAUAAUUAUAUGGAACGCGGAUUUUGAGGUAGGCGUGGCUUGUCAUCAAAAGAGGAUACUCUCAUUCAUUUGGUGUGUAAGGAAUUGGUCGACACCAAACAUAUGUUCUAGGUGUGGAAGGAAUUGGCCGACACCAACAUUGGUGUGGAAGGAAUUGGUGGACAGCAAUGAAUUCUAGUGGAUGUGUAAGGAAUUGGUCGACAUCCAAUAUAGUUUAUUAUUUUGAAGAAGUUGUUAGUUCCAUAUAUCAUGAUUUGUUUAUUUCUGUGAACUGGAUUGUCUUUUAGUGUUUUGGGAAAACAUGAAUUGUUUUUCAAAUUAUUUCAAUGAUUACUUGAAAGCUAAAUGUUAUUCCUGUGAGGCACUCCUUUUAGGGAUGAUGUGCUCAUCCAUUCCCACUUUCAGCUUCAGAGACAGAUCAAAGUUGCGCAGCGAAAUCUCGAAGAGUUGA